GCUUAACACAGCAAGUCGAGCGGUAACAGAGAUAGCUUGCUAUCUGCUGACGAGCGGCGGACGGGUGAGUAAUGCUUGGGAAUAUGCCUUUGAGUGGGGGACAACAGUUGGAAACGACUGCUAAUACCGCAUAACGUCUACGGACCAAAGGGGGGGAUGCUUCGGCACCUCUCGCUCAUUGAUUAGCCCAAGUGAGAUUAGCUAGUUGGUAAGGUAAUGGCUUACCAAGGCGACGAUCUCUAGCUGGUUUGAGAGGAUGAUCAGCCACACUGGGACUGAGACACGGCCCAGACUCCUACGGGAGGCAGCAGUGGGGAAUAUUGCACAAUGGGCGAAAGCCUGAUGCAGCCAUGCCGCGUGUGUGAAGAAGGCCUUCGGGUUGUAAAGCACUUUCAGCGAGGAGGAAAGGUUAGUAGUUAAUAGCUGCUAGCUGUGACGUUACUCGCAGAAGAAGCACCGGCUAACUUCGUGCCAGCAGCCGCGGUAAUACGAGGGGUGCAAGCGUUAAUCGGAAUUACUGGGCGUAAAGCGUGCGUAGGUGGUUUGUUAAGCAAGAUGUGAAAGCCCCGGGCCCAACCUGGGAACUGCAUUUUGAACUGGCAAACUAGAGUUUUGUAGAGGGUAGUGGAAUUUCCAGUGUAGCGGUGAAAUGCGUAGAGAUUGGAAGGAACAUCAGUGGCG
rnacentral:rRNA from 1 species